rnacentral:rRNA from 1 species
AAUGGGGCUGCUAUACUGCAAGUCGAACGCACUAGCAAUAGUGAGUGGCGAACGGGUGAGUAACACGUAGGUAACUUACCUCUAAGACGAGGAUAACGACUGGAAACGGUCGCUAAAACUGGAUAGGAUCAUUUGAGGCAUCUCGGAUGAUUUAAAGGGGCUUACAAGCCACACUCAGAGAAAGGCCUGCGGCGCAUUAGCUAGUUGGUGGUGUAGAGGACUACCAAGGCGAUGAUGCGUAGCCGGACUGAGAGGUCGAACGGCCACAUUGGGACUGAGACACGGCCCAAACUCCUACGGGAGGCAGCAGUAGGGAAUUUUCGGCAAUGGGGGAAACCCUGACCGAGCAACGCCGCGUGAAUGAAGAAGUAUUUCGGUAUGUAAAGUUCUUUUAUUGAGGAAGAAUGGGUUGGGAAGGAAAUGACCUGACCGUGACGGUACUCAAUGAAUAAGCCCCGGCUAACUAUGUGCCAGCAGCCGCGGUAAUACAUAGGGGGCAAGCGUUAUCCGGAAUUAUUGGGCGUAAAGGGUGCGUAGGCGGUCUGUUAAGUCUAAGGUGUAAGUGCAAGGCUCAACCUUGUGAUGCUUUAGAAACUGGUGGACUAGAGAUAGAUAGAGGCAAGUGGAAUUCCAUGUGUAGCGGUAAAAUGCGUAAAUAUAUGGAGGAACACCAGUGGCGAAGGCGGCUUGCUGGGUCUAUACUGACGCUGAGGCACGAAAGCGUGGGGAGCAAACAGGAUUAGAUACCCUGGUAGUCCACGCCGUAAACGAUGAGUACUAAGUGUUGGGGGAACCCAGUGCUGUAGUUAACAUAUUAAGU